rnacentral:rRNA from 1 species
UACAGAGGUCCCAAGCGUUGUUCGGAUUCACUGGGCGUAAAGGGUGCGUAGGUGGUAAGGCAAGUCAGGUGUGAAAUCUCCGGGCUUAACCCGGAAAGGUCAGCCGAUACUGCAGGGCUAGAGUGCAGAAGGGGCAACUGGAAUUCUCGGUGUAGCGGUGAAAUGCGUAGAUAUCGAGAGGAACACCUGCGGCGAAGGCGGGUUGCUGGGCUGACACUGACGCUGAGGCGCGAAAGCUAGGGGAGCGAACGGG